rnacentral:rRNA from 1 species
GAUGAACGCUGGCGGCGUGCCUAAUACAUGCAAGUCGAGCGAACAGACGAGGAGCUUGCUCCUCUGACGUUAGCGGCGGACGGGUGAGUAACACGUGGAUAACCUACCUAUAAGACUGGGAUAACUUCGGGAAACCGGAGCUGAUACCGGAUAAUAUAUUGAACCGCAUGGUUCAAUAGUGAAAGACGGUUUUGCUGUCACUUAUAGAUGGAUCCGCGCCGCAUUAGCUAGUUGGUAAGGUAACGGCUUACCAAGGCAACGAUGCGUAGCCGACCUGAGAGGGUGAUCGGCCACACUGGAACUGAGACACGGUCCAGACUCCUACGGGAGGCAGCAGUAGGGAAUCUUCCGCAAAGGGCGAAAGCUUGACGGAGCAACGCCGCGUGAGUGAUGAAGGUCUUCGGAUCGUAAAACUCUGUUAUUAGGGAAGAACAAAUGUGUAAGUAACUAUGCACGUCUUGACGGUACCUAAUCAGAAAGCCACGGCUAACUACGUG